rnacentral:rRNA from 1 species
UACGGGGGGGGCAAGCGUUGUUCGGAAUUACUGGGCGUAAAGGGCUCGUAGGCGGCCAACUAAGUCAGACGUGAAAAUCCCUCGGCUUAACCGGGGAACUGCGUCUGAUACUGGAUGGCUUGAGUUCGGGGAGAGGGAUGCGGAAUUCCAGGUGUAGCGGUGAAAUGCGUAGAUAUCUGGAGGAACACCGGUGGCGAAGGCGGCAUCCUGGACCGACACGUGACACUGAGGAGCGAAAGCCAGGGGAGCGAAAACGGG